UUUCCAUCUGUCAUCCUGCAG
rnacentral:miRNA from 1 species